rnacentral:rRNA from 1 species
UACGUAGGGGGCAAGCGUUGUCCGGAAUCAUUGGGCGUAAAGCGCGCGUAGGCGGCCCGAUAAGUCCGCUGUAAAAGUCCAGGGCUCAACCCUGGAAAGCCGGUGGAUACUGUCGGGCUAGAGGUAGGUAGGGGAGAAUGGAAUUCCCGGUGUAGCGGUGAAAUGCGCAGAUAUCGGGAGGAACACCGGUGGCGAAGGCGGUUCUCUGGGCCUUACCUGACGCUGAGGAGCGAAAGCGUGGGGAGCGAACAGG